GUACCUGCGGAGGGAUCAUUACCGGGUUAACCAGCCAGCAGUACCGUAUGUGGUGAGGGACGAAACAGAUUGUUGGCUCGGCGGGGUCACGCCCCGGGUGCGUCGCAGCCCCGGAACCAGGCGCCCGCCGGAGGAACCAACCAAACUCUUUCUGUAGUCCCCUCGCGGACGUAUUUCUUACAGCUCUGAGCAAAAAUUCAAAAUGAAUCAAAACUUUCAACAACGGAUCUCUUGGUUCUGGCAUCGAUGAAGAACGCAGCGAAAUGCGAUAAGUAAUGUGAAUUGCAGAAUUCAGUGAAUCAUCGAAUCUUUGAACGCACAUUGCGCCCGCCAGUAUUCUGGCGGGCAUGCCUGUCCGAGCGUCAUUUCAACCCUCGAACCCCUCCGGGGGAUCGGCGUUGGGGAUCGGGACCCCUCACACGGGUGCCGGCCCCGAAAUACAGUGGCGGUCUCGCCGCAGCCUCUCCUGCGCAGUAGUUUGCACAACUCGCACCGGGAGCGCGGCGCGUCCACGUCCGUAAAACACCCAACUUUCUGAAAUGUUGACCUCGGAUCAGGUAGGAAUACCCGCUGAACUUAAGCAUAUCAAAG
rnacentral:rRNA from 1 species